rnacentral:lncRNA from 1 species
GCGGGCCUCCCAGCGAGGAGAAGGAUGGGGUCGAGAACAGGCACUGUCCCAGUUAAGGGUCUAUCAGAGACGGAGAAACUGAGGCAGAGGCGUCCCCACUGAUUCCUAGGAGUGGCGAACCUGUCUAGGGAGUCUGAAGAUGGACGCCUGGAAGGCUGCGGAGGGCGUGGACUCUCUGGAGUUGAUUUUAAGUGUGAUCAGGAGUUUAAGGGUAGCAUGCCUAAACCCCUCGAACUGUAAUACUGAAAAUAAAAGUCUUCCAUUCC